rnacentral:rRNA from 1 species
CCCUAGUAACUGCGAGUGAAGCGGGAAAAGCUCAAAUUUAAAAUCUGGUAGUCUUUGGCUGCCCGAGUUGUAAUCUAGAGAAGCGUUAUCCGCGCUGGACCGUGUAUAAGUCUCCUGGAAUGGAGCGUCAUAGAGGGUGAGAAUCCCGUCUUUGACACGGACUACCAGGGCUUUGUGAUGCGCUCUCAACGAGUCGAGUUGUUUGGGAAUGCAGCUCUAAAUGGGUGGUAAAUUCCAUCUAAAGCUAAAUAUUGGCGAGAGACCGAUAGCGAACAAGUACCGUGAGGGAAAGAUGAAAAGAACUUUGGAAAGAGAGUUAAACAGUACGUGAAAUUGUUGAAAGGGAAACGCUUGAAGUCAGUCGCAUUGGUCAGGGAUCAACCUUGCUUUCUGCUUGGCGUACUUCCUGGCUAAUGGGUCAGCAUCAAUUUUGACCAGUGGAAAAAGGUCGAGGGAAUGUGGCAUCUUCGGAUGUGUUAUAGCCUUUGGUCGCAUACAUUGGUUGGGAUUGAGGAACUCAGCACGCCGCAAGGCCGGGUUUUUAACCACGUUCGUGCUUAGGAUGCUGGCAUAAUGGCUUUAAUCGACCCGUCUUGAAACACGGACCAAGGAGUCUAACAUGCCUGCGAGUGUUUGGGUGGAAAACCCAAGCGCGUAAUGAAAGUGAAAGUUGGGAUCCCUGUCGUGGGGAGCACCGACGCCCGGACCAGACCUACUGUGACGGAUCCGCGGUAGAGCAUGUAUGUUGGGACCCGAAAGAUGGUGAACUAUGCCUGAAUAGGGUGAAGCCAGAGGAAACUCUGGUGGAGGCUCGUAGCGAUUCUGACGUGCAAAUCGAUCGUCGAAUUUGGGUAUAGGG